GGGGAGGGGACGCGAGGACCUUGCCGGGCACGCGCAUUAAAGGGAAACGCCGGCUGGGGGUUAGGGGUUACCCCAAGACGGUGCAGGCAGUGGGACGAGGAGGCCUUUUACCCCCAUCCACCGCAGCCCUUGACUUCACGCUCGCCUCGAAGCUUUCGCAAAGUAGAUACGGGGACUGACCCUGUUGACACACUAACCCAAACUCGCAGACGCGUGGGGCUCGCAUGUACCCAAGACAGGAAAACUUCACGUUGGCCUGGAAACUUCUUCCAGGCUAAGCCUGAGUCUUCACCAGACACUGCAGCACGAAGGCCCUUCUGCCUUUUGGCUCGCCCUGGCCCAGAAUGCGCACCAGCCGGUAGAGAGGAGCUUCGGGCCGUUUAGCCCUGGGACGGACUCUUCUUGCUCUGUUGCCCAGGCUGAAGUCCAGUGGUGCAAUCCCAGCUCACUGCAACCUCCGCCUCCCGGGUUCAAGUGAUUUUCCUGCCUCAGCUUCCUGAGUAGCUGGGACUACAGGCAAGAGAAAGAGGCCCACUGCAAUAUGCUGUGAAGAAUACAUAAGAAGUCAAACUGUUGACCUCUUUUCCCCAGCCCGUUCCAAAACUACAUCCCUGAGGAGUUGUGCACCUCUACGGAAAGUUCAGAUGAAAGAGCUAAUUCCCCUUGAUCUCUCUUCUUGUUCAGAGUGGAGGAAAAACAUAUACCAUCCCUUCCAUCAAUCCUCAGCAUAACUUUGCCAGGGACACUGGUAACAAGCUACUUUUACCUCAGAAGUUGGAGAGUAUCACUUGACCCACAUUGUGUAUGUGUAAAUAUCUUUAUUCAGUGUAUAUACAAUAUAUUCUUAAUUUGACUCUCAAAGUUUAUAAUUAGCAUUGAAUGAGUAUGAAACAUUGUUUUCCAAAUACUGUCAGCAAGCUAUUGAAUAUGUUGUUCCUGAUUUAUGAAUGAGAUUUUCAUCAGCAGAAACUUAUGACAAAUGACCAAUUACAUUGUCACUGCUAAGUUCCAAGAGCAUUUCUUUCAGUUAUGCUAUUUAGAGUAUAAACAUCAUACUGAAUUAUUAUUAAACUCCACUCAAAAUUUUUAAUUAAGCCAUCCACAUCAUCUAAGUCUUUUCCCUUCCCCUUCUGUGAACCUUCUUUUUUGAGACAGGGUCUCAGUCUGUCACCCAGGUUGGUGGGCAGUGGUGCGAUGUUGACUCAUUGCAAC
rnacentral:lncRNA from 1 species